rnacentral:misc_RNA from 1 species
CGAAGUACGAUCCAGGAACUGCAAAAGCAAGUAGCUCUGCUAGAAAGUCAGAUAUCAAACUCUGAUUUCAAGAUUGAGAGAUGGGAAAGUGAGUUAGAAAUGAAUAGAGAAAAGCUUGAGGCGUCGGAGGAAGAAGUUGCCAAGUUAAAGCAUGAUUGUUCAAAAGUGAUCAACGACAACACUUGCUAUUUGGCUGAUCAGCUUGAAUUAACUCAGGAAGAAUUAAUCUUGCUAAAGGGCAAGCUUGAGUCUGAGGAAAGACUUACGUCAGAACUACAUGAGGGCAUAAUGAGGUACAAAGCUGACAUAUCAG